GACGAACGCUGGCGGCGUGCCUAAUACAUGCCAGUUGAGCGCUGAAGGUUGGUACUUGUACCGACUGGAUGAGCAGCGAACGGGUGAGUAACGCGUGGGGAAUCUGCCUUUGAGCGGGGGACAACAUUUGGAAACGAAUGCUAAUACCGCAUAAAAACUUUAAACACAAGUUUUAAGUUUGAAAGAUGCAAUUGCAUCACUCAAAGAUGAUCCCGCGUUGUAUUAGCUAGUUGGUGAGGUAAAGGCACACCAAGGCGAUGAUACAUAGCCGACCUGAGAGGGUGAUCGGCCACAUUGGGACUGAGACACGGCCCAAACUCCUACGGGAGGCAGCAGUAGGGAAUCUUCGGCAAUGGACGAAAGUCUGACCGAGCAACGCCGCGUGAGUGAAGAAGGUUUUCGGAUCGUAAAACUCUGUUGGUAGAGAAGAACGUUGGUGAGAGUGGAAAGCUCAUCAAGUGACGGUAACUACCCAGAAAGGGACGGCUAACUACGUG
rnacentral:rRNA from 1 species